rnacentral:tRNA from 7 species
UCCCCUGUAGCUCAGUCGGUAGAGCGGAUGACUGUUAAUCAUUAGGUCGGCGGUUCGAGCCCGUCCGGGGGAGCCA